rnacentral:lncRNA from 9 species
GCGGCCCCGGGGCCAUAGCAGAAACGGCGCCCACACCGAGCCCACUGCGCGGGGGCAGGGUCCGAGGGGAGGCAGGGAGUCCACGUCUCCCGUUUCAGAAUCACGGAAGAAAAUCUUCCCGAUUCAGUUCACGGUCCUGAGGGGCAAAAAUGUCUGUUCUGCGAGGGUCACUCAGUUCCGGUCUGGUGGGGGGCGGGGGAGCACGCUGACAGCCAGUUGCCCCGGCGGGAGCCCUGGACCCUGGCUUUUCAUCACAGCCAGAAUCUGUGCUGGGAUCCAGUUGGCCAUCCUGGCCUCCCCAGUCCUCAGGGUCUGGGGAACAGAAAAAGAGCGCGGGGCGGGGGGCCUGGAGGCGGUGGGGUGGAGUGGAGUACAGAACGGCCUUCGUGUCCCUGGCGUCUCCGGAGGGGCUGGCUCCCAGCUCCAUUCUGAGGAGUUGGAAUCCCACCCAGUCCUGUUGUUGUGAUCUCAAUUCAAGAGGAAGGUGUGAUAUGGCGUCUGUCUGGGUUGGACACCGAGGGACAAUGAGAGAUCAUCCAGGCUUUAACCCAUCUGUGGAUGCUGAGGCGAUUCAUAAGGCAGUCAGAGAAAUCGGGCAUAUGGAGGUUCCCAGGCUAGGGGUCUGAUCGGAACUACAGCUGCCGGCCUACACCACAGACAGCAAUGCCAGAUCUAAGCCGUGUCUGCAACCCAUACCACAGCCCAUGGCAACGCCAGAUCCAUAACCCACUGAGCAAGAACUGAUGAGAAGACGCACAUCAGCAUUCUGACUGAGAGGUCGAAUGUACAGCGGCAGCUGACUGUUAAGGAAUAUCAAGCAGCAUAUGGAAAGGCUCAGCCUCUAGAGGAUCACAGAGAAGGAGGCUUGUUGUGAAACUGAGUCAGAAGGAUGCUCUUAUAGCAGACUUUCAAGACAACCCUUAGCCCGGGAUAACAACCAGAGGAUGACUGGCCUGAGAACUUGGUAUUCCAGAAAGCAGAAUUCAGGUACACAAGAGAUCAUGAUUCCCUUGAUUCCUCCUCACCCUUUUCACACUCUCUACCUCUUUCUCCCACUCCCUCUCAGCUUCUCUCUCUCUCUCUCUCUCUCUCUCUCUCUCUCUCUCUCUCUCUCUCUCUCUCCCCCUCUCUCUCUCCCUCUCCCCCUCCCUCCCUCCCUCCCUCUCUCUCUCUCUCGGUGCCCAGGGGCAGAGACAACAAUCCGGCCUAAGCAAUCUGGACUCAAGUUGGUAGGGUCAGUAUUUUGGCGGCCAGGGCUUAAUCUGGUUGUGUCAUUGUUUGAAGACUGUCAUUCUCAAGAAUCACACAAACCCUGACAGGACUGGAAGGUCGGUCUUAGGGAAAAUGCCUGAAGUUAGGAUUUACCCAUGGGGCCCAUAUUUUACCCAGUAAGCCAUGUGCUAGAAACGUUUCAAUUGGGAGGACACGCUAGGUGGAGUACCUAUGUCUCUGUCUUGGGGUAUGGCUCCUGGGUGCUCCACACACCACGAACUCACAUCCAAGGCAGGAAGAGGCAUCCCUUCAGAGAAUGUGGCCAGAGGGAACUGAGUGGCUGGAGGCCCGCAUGAACGGGUGGUCAGGAAGGAAGGGUCUGGAGACCAGGGAGCAUGAGAGGCUGGCUGGUCCACGGAGUUGGCCCUUGAUGGCUCAGGAUGGCCUCCAGUGAAUCACCUGUGAGUGAGGUCUUCUUCUCUGCUCAGGGUGGAGGGGAACAAGUCAAUGGAGGAAGAGAGUUAGCUUUGGGAUGAAAGGCCCAAGGCCAUGCGUGAGGGCCAGGAAGACUGGUGGUCUUUCCCUAGCAAAACGUCUUCUUGGUUUCACGACAGUUUCUACAGGCACCUUUCAGAAACAUCUACAAAAAGAAACACACUAGUGCCUAUGGGCACUCACAGAGACACACGAGGCCAGGUCCACCACACUCACUGCAGUUCGGUCUUGGGUCGUGAGGCAGCAAAGCACGGGUUCAGUGUGGGAGGAAAGAACAUGUAUUUCAAAGAUUUCCAAGACAGGGAUCAGAUCCAUUAGAGUCUCCUGACCUGGUAGUAACAGGGACGUGUCCUCCCUCUGAAGGCUCAGGAAAGGAGAAGUUGCCAGGCAAGAUGGGAUUUUUAUUAUGGCCAUCUGGGUUGAAGAGAUACUGAGAGAGGGCAUAUUGCAGUGGAUCGUUGUGCAUUUUGAAACAGUCCUGUCCCCUUUAGAGACCUGAGGCAAGGAACCUUCAUCAGGCAGCAGCCACAGCAAAGAGGAGGAGAGAUCGAGUGAGCAGGAGACAGAGCAGUGACAGAGAGGGGCAGGGAGGCGGCAACACAGACACAGGCAUCAACAGGUAGAUGGAGAGAAUCAGAGCCAGAGACAGAAAGACCGACAGAGAAUCUGGCAGGAUGGAUGGGAAGGGUGACGAUGAAGAAAAUAAGCGGGGGGAGGAAGAAGGGGAGAAAAACUAUUAGCGAUCUCAUGCGUACAUUGGGAAUGCAAACAUUGUCUCCUCCUCUGUCAUCAUUGGUCUUGAGUUUUGACACCAGGAAGGGGACUAACAAAAGGAACGAUAUCUUCACGGAGGCGGCUUGUAUAUUCUGGAACUGUACCUUCUAUGGGGAGACCCGGCCCUUGGGUUCAUAGCUUGUUCCCCUGGGGGCUGAAUGGACUUGGGUCAUAAGGGAAGUUUGUGAUACUUCCAUCAGGCGUGGUUCGCCCUAGCUCGCUAUGUGCUGCUUCUCCCCGUUUUUGAAAAGAAGGCAUCUUCAUGCCACAUCAGGCUUCGCCUCAAAGGAGAACACAUUUGGAGUGCCUUUCAAGUGAUGCAAACUCCCUGUACCAAACCAGUGCACAGAGUUCAUUGGGCAGCACUUUGGCUCAUUUUCCUAGGUAUAGGACAGGCCUAGAUGGGAAAAAGGCAAGGUUUGGUCUCCGAAGUAAACCCGCACUGGGGCUGGUGUUCACUCACUGAAUAGGAUACACUUUGCAAGGAGAAACGUUGCACAUUCAUCUUUUGUGGAGUUUGUGAGAUUUCCGUCCGGCGUGGAUUGCCCUAGGUCACUGUGUGCUGCUUUUUCCCGCUUGUGAAAAGAAGGCGUUUUCAUGCCACAUCAGGCUUCUCCUCAAAGGAGAACACGUUUGGAGUGCCUUUCAAGCGAUGCAAACUCCCUGCACCAAACCAGUGCACAGAGAGCACCUUGGCUCAUUUGCCGUAUGUAUAGGAGUGGCCUAGGUUGGAAAAAGGCAAGGGUUGCUUUCCCGAGCAAACCCGCACUGGGGCUGGUGUUCGUUCACUGAGACAGGAGCUCCUGAGUGUUACAGCUCUUAAAGUCACCUCUUGACCAGGUCAAAAUGACAACGGUCUUCUACCACCUGGCUUUCUUCAGGAAGUGAUAAAAUAUCCCAACCCAACCAGCUCCUGCCCCAGGCAUCCUGUCAGGCCCUAUUGGCCAGAAUAGGGUAAGAUGCUCUCCACACCCCCAGCCACUCCUAACAAAGAGGAAGGGGAGGACCGGGAUGGAUUUCCUGCAGUCACGAUGCAUUCCCAGGUAGCCCAUUGAUUGCAUCAGGAGACCCGAACAGUUCACAUUUUAUUCAUGAGUAUUACUGUGGUUCCGGGUAGAAGAAAUGGCUGCUGGGAAAAUACCAACAAUGUUUGUAAGGACAGUCACGGACCAAAAGUCCGCAGAGGGUAUGGAUUGUCCUUGGAGCUGAAGAAGUCACGGAAGAUAGGGAGUUCCCAUUGUGGGACAGCAGAAGUGAAUCCGAGCAUCAUCCGUGAGAAUUUGGGUUCGAUCCCUGGCCUCACCAGUGGGUCAGGGAUCCAGUGUUGCUGUGAGCUGUGGAGUAGGUUGCAGAUGCAGCUUGGAUCCUGCAUUGCUGGCCCUGUGGUGUAGGCUGGCUGCUGCAGCUCCUAUUAGAGCUCUGGUCUGGGAAGGUCCAUGUACCACGGCUGUGGCCUAAAAAAACAGUUACAGAAAAUAAAGACAGGGGUGCAGUGGUGCCGGCAGCACAUGGGACUAAAGUCUUCAGUGAUGAGCACAACGACAGAGAAGGGACAAAUGACUGCCCAGGAGGAGUGAUGAGGCUGUGUCUAGGAAGGCCACAACCACCUUACCAGACGGGCGGCCUGCUCCCUCUGUUGCCCUGGACCCUCGGGUGUGAGGACCGAUCCUCUGCUCAGAGUCCAGCCUCCUCUGUCCUCCUUGCUUCAUUCUACCUGCAGCCCACCCAUCUUUCUUUGGAUCUGCCUUUCUUUGAGAAGUUAUCCUCUGUAUUGGCUAUCAGGUGGCAGAACCUGUGGACCCAAAAGGAGCAGUUGCACUGGCAGGGACUAGGUGGACCUCGGGUCGCCAUGGAAAACUCUUGGUGGAGCACAGGCAAGAGUUGGGGCGGGAGGACCUGCACCCCAUAAGAAAUACCCACCAGCUCUCAGAUCCUCGAGGGUUGUAGGAGCACCGAGACAUUCAAGCUGGGAAAUGAAGACUGUGAUAGGGCAGAGCGAGACCCAAGCUUCCCCGGGCAAUGGCAGCGUGAGCUCCUGUCCAACUGCCAAAAGAUGAGAGUUGGCAUCUUACCAGAAGGUUUGGAGGGAUAGGAUGAGAGACGCCUGGCCAUUGGCCGGAAGCGCAUGGCGGGGGAGGGGGUUGCGGAAGCUGCCUCGUGAUUGGCCCGGGCCACGGGGAUGUCACAGGGAGGCAUUGUGACUUGAGGGCAAGGCAGUUAUAAAAGCCCAGUGCUUCCACCGUCUCCCAGACGGAGGAUAUGGCUUUUCAGCUGUUCCUGCUCUUGCUCUUCAAGGCGGUGUCCUCUGCCGCCUUCUCUGCACCUGCACAUGGCAUGCCCCAGGCCCACCUGUCCUGCCCCGGGCCUCUCACCCACACUUGGUGUACCACAUUCCUGUUCGCAUCCAGCUUUGAGCCCCUUUGCGGGCGGAUGAGCCUGCGCACCCGCACCCGGCGCCUCCUCCACCCGCAGCCCUCCUCGGGCCUGGCCCAGCUCCUCAACACUGUGCUCAGGUUCUACAACAGGGGCUUGGACGUCUGGAACCAGAACCAAGCAGACCCCCACGCGGAGGGGAAGCAGCCCUCCCAGCCCUGUUGGCCAAGAGACCUGGACACGUGCCACGCCUCCAACUCCACACUGCACAGAAGGCAGCUGGCCACCCCUCCUCAGACAUCCAUGGACCCCAGAUCCAAGAUCUCCACCUUGGCCCUCCUGCUCCACAAAGGAGAGUCACAGACUCACAGGGCGAGUUCCUGUACCUCCUGCCCACCUCCAUGCAACCUCUCAAAGGGCUCUCCAGCCCAUGUGGGACCACCAGCCUGGGUGAGGCGACUGGUCCAGUUAGGGCCACCAGUCCUGGCAGGGCCAAAAGUCCAGGCAAGGCGACCAGCCCAGGUGGGACCACCAGCCCAGGUGAGGACACCAGCCCAGGAAGGACCAGCAGCCCAGAUGGGACCAGUGGCCCUGGUGAUGCUACCACCACAGGUGGGACCAACAGCCCAUGUGGGGACGUUUCCCCAGGCAGGAGCAACAGCCCAAGUGGGGCCACCAAGCCUUGCGGGACCAAUGGCCCCAAUAGGGACAGCAGCCCAGGUGAUGGGGCCACUAGACCAGGCCACGACUCCAGCUGAUGCCAGGCUACCAGCCCAGGCAGGCCCAGCAUACCAGGUGGGGCCACCACUCCAGGCAAGUCCACCCGCCCAGAUGUGUCCGUCACCCCAGGCGAGGCUACCAACCCAGGUGGGGACACCAGCUCCUCUGGUGCCACCAGCCCAGUCAGGUCCACCAGCCCAGGUGGGGCCAACACCCCAGGCGGGGACACCAGCCCAGGCAGGGACACCAGGAUCGGCGAGGAUACCAGCCCAGGCGGAACCAACAUGCCAGGCCAGGCCAACAGCCCAGACGGGGACACCAGCCAUGACAGAAACCCUGUGGUCACAGCUAGGCUUUGGAAACAUUGAGAGUUUGCUCCUUCUGUUGACUCGCUGUGCUCUGGUGCUGCUCUUUUCCUUCUGGACAUUUAUCUCAUGCAGAGAGAUAAAGGACUACCGUGAGUUCCAACAAGAGCAGCUGGCAGAGCUGGGCAAAGGAUUGAAGAUGAUGGGUAAAGCCCUGGGAGAACUUGAGAAGACACUAAAUGCAGAAAGAGAACAUAAAAAUCAUCUUUCCAAGGAGCUGUCUGAGCUGAAGGCAGAGCUCAGAAUUUCUGAAAAGGAAACAGAGAGAUGGAAAAAGCUGUUUUUUCUAUUGUCCCGGGCACAACACCUUUUGAAGGCCUUCCCGGAAGAUGCAAAGGGGCACUGUGUGCAGGUGGAGCAGGGCCCUUAGAGGCAGGCCCAGGCCUGGGAGCUGGAGAGUUUCUUCCUCCCUGUGCACGCCCCCUAGAGGGGGAGAAGAGGGGUGGGGAGGGAGGGCAAAGCGGAGGCUAGGGUAGGGGUGCUGGGACAGAGACGUGGCCUGAAUUUCAUGAUGUAUGUAUAUUUUGAAUAAAUAAUUGAAUGUUGG